CCUACGGGUGGCAGCAGUGAGGAAUAUUGGUCAAUGGCCGCAGGGCUGAACCAGCCAAGUCGCGUGAGGGAUGACGGUCCUAUGGAUUGUAAACCUCUUUUGUCAGGGAGCAAAGGGCGCCACGUGUGGCGCUUUGCGAGUACCUGAAGAAAAAGCAUCGGCUAACUCCGUGCCAGCAGCCGCGGUAAUACGGAGGAUGCGAGCGUUAUCCGGAUUUAUUGGGUUAAAGGGGUGCGCAGGCGGAAUGUCAAGUCAGCGGUAAAAUUUCGGGGCUCAACCCCGUCGUGCCGUUGAAACUGGCGUUCUUGAGUGAGCGAGAAGUAUGCGGAAUGCGUGGUGUAGCGGUGAAAUGCAUAGAUAUCACGCAGAACUCCGAUUGCGAAGGCAGCAUACUGGCGCUCAACUGACGCUCAUGCACGAAAGCGUGGGUAUCGAACAGGAUUAGAUACCCUGGUAGUC
rnacentral:rRNA from 1 species